CCACCCUUUUUCUCAUUAAUAACAAAACUAAUUAUUCCGAUAUAUAAAAUAUUAAUUCCAAUGGCUUUUGCUAUAGUAACCUUCCCAACCACGAUUUUUUAUUCCACUCCGUUCAGUUAUUUCUAUACGAAAUAACAAAUUCAUUCUAAUAAUACUAAAAAAAUAGUGGGUUCCAUCGUUUCUAUGGUUCCCUUUUAAACGGUGAGGCCCUCUCUAUACACCGGAGCCCUUUCUUUCAUCAAAAGGUAUUGCGAACUUGUAUAGUCCACAUUCUUUGGCUCUACCUAUCCAUUAUAGAGUAAAUAGCUCUUUUCACAAUAAGAGUUAUCCAUACAGUGACGGUAUUUAAUUAUGAAAGUUGGCUAAGUAGCUGACCCUGUUAGUCCGUUCUUUUAAGAUAAAGGAGCAUAAGCCUUUUUCUUUUUAUUACUAUUUCCUCCGCUUAAUGGAUAACCAUUUGCUACCAAUGGGAGAAUUGCUUCUUAUUUACAAUUUAGAUAAUUGGAUUUGCACCAAAGGAAACCAUAAAUUCCAUAUACCAUAGAAAUCUAGGAUAGAGAAGCUAUAUCCUAUUCAUUGGUACUAAUCAUGGAUACUUCAAUUUUUUUUAUAUUUGUUUGAAGUCAUGAUCUGAACGAGUCGCACAUACACCCUAGCACAUGUUCCUCGACGCUGAGGGCAUCCUUUAAGCGCGGCCGUUUUUCGAGCAUUUCGUAUUGGCUGUCUUGCGUUUCUAAUAAGUUGUUUAACCGUCGGCAUGUUGUAUGUAUAUAGAAAAAAAUGUAUUGCGAACUUGUAUAGUCCACAUUCUUUGGCUCUACCUAUCCAUUAUAGAGUAAAUAGCUCUUUUCACAAUAAGAGUUAUCCAUACAGUGACGGUAUUUAAUUAUGAAAGUUGGCUAAGUAGCUGACCCUGUUAGUCCGUUCUUUUAAGAUAAAGGAGCAUAAGCCUUUUUCUUUUUAUUACUAUUUCCUCCGCUUAAUGGAUAACCAUUUGCUACCAAUGGGAGAAUUGCUUCUUAUUUCCAAUUUAGAUAAUUGGAUUUGCACCAAAGGAAACCAUAAAUUCCAUAUACCAUAGAAAUCUAGGAUAGAGAAGCUAUAUCCUAUUCAUUGGUACUAAUCAUGGAUACUUCAAUUUUUUUAUAUUUGUUUGAAGUCAUGAUCUGAACGAGUCGCACAUACACCCUAGCACAUGUUCCUCGACGCUGAGGGCAUCCUUUAAGCGCGGCCGUUUUUCAAGCAUUUCGUAUUGGCUGUCUUGCGUUUCUAAUAAGUUGUUUAACCGUCGGCAUGUUGUAUGUAUAUAGAAAAAAAUGGAUUGGUUUAGAUCCAUCUUAACCUGAUGAUUGCUCAUCAUGAAGUCUUUCUAUUUUCUAUUAAAUCGAGGAAAACACGAAUUUAGCUGUGAAAUAACUUUACAAGAA
rnacentral:lncRNA from 1 species